rnacentral:lncRNA from 1 species
AUAGCUGGCUUUUAAUAGAGAUAGGGGUUAGGAAAGGGAAAAAAAAGAGAGAGAGAGAGAGAGAGAAAGCGAACAAUUUAUCACAGAGUUAGCUAAAGUCGCAAAUGAAAGAAAUUCCCUUUAAUCCGCUUUUUAGGCACGUUCUGUAAGAAUAGUGGGUCUUCUUAUUCAUGUCUUGUAUGUUGUUGAAAUGUUGAAUGACAAACGAAGAAUGCUUCUAUUAUUCUCGUUAGACAUAUGCCAGCUUUUUAAAGAGAGGACUUAACAACAGGAGGCCAGAUUCCACAAGUACGUUAUCCGGAUCUUCAACUUUUAAAAAACAGAAAUAUAUAUAAGUUAUUCUAUAGUUUCGCAUUAUAUAUGUGUAAAAAAGAAAAAAAGAAUGAAAACUGCGAACGAUAAUUACUGGCAUGGUUCGAUUGUUACGCUUUUUUCCCCCAAAAAAUCCUGUCGUCUAUCCGAUAAAAUUACCGGUUUUGUACCAACUCAAUCGGUUUCUUUAAAAUUAGAAGUCCUUGGCCCUAAUACAAUAUUCGAAUCGUCUAUUUACGGAAAUUACGCGGAGUUUAAACUGACCGACGGAGCCAUUGCCUGGACGCUUUUUUUAUUUUUUUAGUCUAUAAAAAUCGUUCGAAAAAAAGGGCAGAUUUUCGUCUAUGGAACUAAUUUUCGAAACAAAAGCGUCGGAUACGGAAAACAGUGCCAGACAGGAUGUAUAUACGCACUUCCGAAACGGUGUUAAUGUACUUCCUGUAGACAAAGUUAUUCCCAUACAGGUCCUUAUUGAUUCAAGACGCAUUUAUAAAGGCAUACAGUCUAUCAAAUAUUAGUUUAUUGCGGACCUGAUAAACGUUUAAACACCACCACGUCGUCAUCUUUAAUUAUUACGAUUAUUAUUAUUAUUAAAAAUGGCAUUUUUAAAUCCGCAAUCGAUUAUUAACGAUUCUUGAUUCGAUUCUGAAUCUCUUCUUACAACACACACUUGACACUCGUGUUUCUCGACUAUAGAAUGUUCUGCUCGACAAAUAUGCUAAUUGAAACGAAUACUUAUAAAGCGAAUGUUGAGAAUAUUUAAAGCGUUAUGUAUAAAAAUGGCCUUGAAUAAAAGCAUAAUUUAAUUUACAUUUUGAUUUACCCAGAUCGAUUUUUAUUAUUCAGAAAUGAUUAAGUGCUUCUCCAGCUUGAAUAUUAUUAUUAUUUUUUUUUUCUAAUGUGAUUUAAAUUUUAGAUAGUGCAAAUCUGAUGCAUGAUGGUUAUGUAAUGAAAUAUUAAAAAGUGU